rnacentral:rRNA from 1 species
CUCUCCACCCGUGAUUACCGAACCGUGUUGCUUCGGCGGGCCCGCCAUUGAGGCUGCCGGGGAGGGGGAUCCUUCCUGCUCCCGGGCCCGUGUCCGCCGGAGGCGAUUCAACUACUGCCGUGAGAUUGCUGUCUGAGUGUGGGAUGAAAUCGUUUAAAACUUUCAACAAUGGAUCUCUUGGUUCCGGCAUCGAUGAAGAACGCAGCGAAAUGCGAUAAGUAAUGUGAAUUGCAGAAUUCCGUGAAUCAUCGAAUCUUUGAACGCAUAUUGCGCCCUCUGGUAUUCCGGAGGGCAUGCCUGUCCGAGCGUCAUUGCCAUCCCUCAAGCCCGGCUUGGGUGUUGGGCCUCGUCCCUAGUCUCCGGGACGGGUCCGAAAGGCAGUGGCGGUGCCGGGUUUGGUCCUGGAGCGUAUGGGGGCUCUGUCACUCCGCUCUGCAGGCCGGAUCGGCGCCUGUCGCCCCCCAGUCUUCCAAAGGUUGACCUCGGAUCANGUAGGGAUACCCGCUGAACUUAAGCAUAUCAAUA